UACGGAGGGGGCAAGCGUUGUUCGGAAUUACUGGGCGUAAAGGGCGCGUAGGCGGCUUGGCAAGUUGGGCGUGAAAGCCCUGGGCUUAACCCAGGAAUUGCGCUUGAGACUGCCGGGCUUGAGUGCGGGAGAGGUGAGUGGAAUUCCCAGUGUAGAGGUGAAAUUCGUAGAUAUUGGGAAGAACACCAGUGGCGAAGGCGGCUCACUGGCCCGCAACUGACGCUGAGGCGCGAAAGCGUGGGGAGCAAACAGG
rnacentral:rRNA from 2 species